AUUGAACGCUGGCGGCAUGCCUUACACAUGCAAGUCGAACGGCAGCACGGGUGCUUGCACCUGGUGGCGAGUGGCGAACGGGUGAGUAAUACAUCGGAACAUGUCCUGUAGUGGGGGAUAGCCCGGCGAAAGCCGGAUUAAUACCGCAUACGAUCUACGGAUGAAAGCGGGGGGCCUUCGGGCCUCGCGCUAUCGGGUUGGCCGAUGGCUGAUUAGCUAGUUGGUGGGGUAAAGGCCUACCAAGGCGACGAUCAGUAGCUGGUCUGAGAGGACGACCAGCCACACUGGGACUGAGACACGGCCCAGACUCCUACGGGAGGCAGCAGUGGGGAAUUUUGGACAAUGGGCGAAAGCCUGAUCCAGCAAUGCCGCGUGUGUGAAGAAGGCCUUCGGGUUGUAAAGCACUUUUGUCCGGAAAGAAAUCCUUGGCCCUAAUACGGUCGGGGGAUGACGGUACCGGAAGAAUAAGCACCGGCUAACUACGUG
rnacentral:rRNA from 1 species